UACGGAGGGUGCAAGCGUUAUCCGGAUUCACUGGGUUUAAAGGGUGCGUAGGAGGGCAGGUAAGUCAGUGGUGAAAUCUCCGGGCUUAACCCGGAAACUGCCAUUGAUACUAUAGGUCUUGAAUUAUCUGGAGGUGAGCGGAAUAUGUCAUGUAGCGGUGAAAUGCUUAGAUAUGACAUAGAACACCAAUUGCGAAGGCAGCUCACUACUGGAUCGAUUGACACUGAGGCACGAAAGCGUGGGGAUCAAACAGG
rnacentral:rRNA from 1 species